rnacentral:rRNA from 1 species
UAAGCCCCUCGUGAGGGGUGAUGCCGGUACCGGGGGAAUAAGGAUCGGCUAACUCCGUGCCAGCAGCCGCGGUAAUACGGAGGAUCCGAGCGUUAUCCGGAUUUACUGGGUUUAAAGGGUGCGUAGGCGGGCGCCUAAGUCAGCGGUGAAAUGCAGCGGCUCAACCGUUGAACUGCCGUUGAAACUGGGCGCCUUGGAUGCGGUCGAGGCCGGCGGAAUGCGUGGUGUAGCGGUGAAAUGCUUAGAUAUCACGCAGAACGCCAAUUGCGAAGGCAGCUGGCCGGGCCGCAAUCGACGCUGAGGCACGAAAGCGUGGGGAUCAAACAGGAUUAGAUACCCUGGUAGUCCACGCCGUAAACGAUGAUGGCUAGCUGUUGGCGAUACACAGUCAGCGGCUGAGCGAAAGCGGUAAGCCAUCCACCUGGGGAGUACGGUCGCAAGAUUGAAACUCA